GAUGAACGCUGGCGGCGUGCCUAAUACAUGCAAGUCGAGCGAACAGACGAGGAGCUUGCUCCUCUGAUGUUAGCGGCGGACGGGUGAGUAACACGUGGAUAACCUACCUAUAAGACUGGGAUAACUUCGGGAAACCGGAGCUAAUACCGGAUAACAUGUUGAACCGCAUGGUUCAACAGUGAAAGACGGUCUUGCUGUCACUUAUAGAUGGAUCCGCGCCGCAUUAGCUAGUUGGUAAGGUAACGGCUUACCAAGGCAACGAUGCGUAGCCGACCUGAGAGGGUGAUCGGCCACACUGGAACUGAGACACGGUCCAGACGCCUACGGGAGGCAGCAGUAGGGAAUCUUCCGCAAUGGGCGAAAGCCUGACGGAGCAACGCCGCGUGAGUGAAGAAGGUCUUCGGAUCGUAAAACUCUGUUAUUAGGGAAGAACAAAUGUGUAAGUAACUAUGCGCGUCUUGACGGUACCUAAUCAGAAAGCCACGGCUAACUACGUG
rnacentral:rRNA from 1 species